GUUAUAAUGUCUGUGAUUUUCCUUCGGAUAUUUGGACGCUCCUAGGAUUUUCAGGUUCUGAGCAAAGUUUGUGACAAGGCACGAAAAAGGCGAACAUUCAUAAAGCUCAAACUGGAUUCGAACCAAUGACUCAUUUUUUCACACUGGGAAAGAAUGUGAUCGCCUUCUACAACCACCUAAAGGACGAAGAAAUGUUUACUAGGGAAACAGUUACACAGGACACAGCCUCCAUAUGUGAAGGUUAGGUGCAGAUAUAGUGAAUAAACUGUCAGGGACAGCCUUCAGGAGAUGGAUCUCCAGCUUUGAGGUUAAGCGGCGGUUAACAGCUACUCACCAUACAAAGGACUAACAUGAUAGGAUGAGAGGACAUGCUACACAGAGUGUCGUAUUUACGGAAGUUCGAGAAUGUCUUAAGCAACGGACCUGUUCUCUCAGCCGAAGGGAAGAAUAUAGACCGUUCGAGAACAAAGUGCUGAGGAGAAAGUGUCUACCAAGAGAGACCAAGCGACAGUAGGGCAGAGAAAACAAUAUAGCGAGGAGCUUGGUAAUAACUACACUUAUUCUUCGUAAGUUGUUGCUGGGAUGUUCAAAUGAAGGAGAAUAAAAUGGGGGGAACAUGCCGCAUGGGUAGGAGGGCUAAUAAAUGCACUAUUCCUAUUGCGGUAUAUUAUAUUUAUAUUACUAUAAUUUAUAAAUCAUAUUCAUGAGGGUCUUCGGCUUCCGUUACUGGCAGUUUGGGUAGCACAUUUAUUUAUAGAAAUGCAUUAAAGUAUAAGUAUAUUUCACAAAAGUUUUAAUAAACUUUAUCUAUAUAUACUUUAUGUAAAUGAGGAGCCGGGAUAGCUCAGUCGGUAUAGCGACUGGACGAGCGAGGGCUCAGAGUUCGAUUCCCGAAGUGUCAAGAAUUUUCUCUUCUCCAAGUCGUCCUGACCGGCUGCGGGGCCCACCCAACGUCCUAUCUAAUGGGCACCGGGGACCCUUUCCCGGGCUAAAGAGGCCGGGGCGUGAAGCUGACCACUCACCUCCACAUAGUACUGAGGUCAAGAAAAUAUGGAUCUAUACGUC